GUGGCCUCGCUGUGUACCACCUGGGGGGCCCUCCCCGUCUGUAAGAUCUCCAGGAGGGUGGACUUGCCCUGACGCGGCGGACCCACGAUGAUCAUCUUCAUCUGCUUGCACUUCUCUGCUUUCCGCAGCUGAGCACGCAGAGUCUGAGACCCCCAGCAGGUGGAAGCAGUUAACUGUGUGCCGUCCACAAGCACAUAGACCCCAGACCGGUUGGAACCAGAAAGUGGAUGCUGACUCCCGACGGCCUCACCACCAAUCAGUCAGACGCAGUCUCAAUGGUAACAGGGUAACCUGGCAUCAGAGAAUGUUCUGAGAGAGACGAUAACAGAAUACUGAUAUUGGCGCCUGGAUAAUUUGCCCGGCUAAUACCACAUGAAUGGGACUCAACACAGUGGCCCCUACAGAAAUA